rnacentral:tRNA from 1 species
GGGGUUGUAGCUCAGUUGGUAGAGCAUUUGCCUUGCAUGUAUGAGGCACUGGGUUUGAUCCUCAGCACCA